CACCAAUCAAGCCCGGCUUGGUGUUGGGUCCCGGGGGCGACCCGGACCUCAAUGUCUCGCGGCUGGAACACCCCGAUCUCAGCGUUGUGAAUCAAAUUCGCUCGGUGAAAGGGUGGGCCAUCGCCGGUAAACAUUUCAUUAAAGG
rnacentral:misc_RNA from 1 species